rnacentral:rRNA from 1 species
GAUGAACGCUGGCGGCGUGCCUAAUACAUGCAAGUCGAGCGAACAGAUGAGGAGCUUGCUCCUCUGACGUUAGCGGCGGACGGGUGAGUAACACGUGGAUAACCUACCUAUAAGACUGGGAUAACUUCGGGAAACCGGAGCUAAUACCGGAUAAUAUAUUGAACCGCAUGGUUCAAUAGUGAAAGACGGUUUUGCUGGCACUUAUAGAUGGAUCCGCGCCGCAUUAGCUAGUUGGUAAGGUAACGGGCUACCAAGGCAACGAUGCGUAGCCGAACUGAGAGGCUGAUAGGCCACACUGGAGCUGAGACACGGUCCAGACUACUACGGGAGGGAGCAGUAGGGAAUCUUACGCAAUGGGCGAAAGCAUGACGGAGCAACGCCGCGUGAGUGAUGAAGGUCUUCGGAUCGUAAAACUCUGUUAUUAGGGAAGAACAAAUGUGUAAGUAACUAUGCACGUCUUGACGGUACCUAAUCAGAAAGCCACGGCUAACUACGUG